CUCUGACUGUGUCAUGGUGUGUAUGUCUGUCUGUGUCAUGCAAUGUGUGUCUGUCUGUGCACGGUGUGUGUCUGUGUCACGGUCUCUCUGUGUCAUGGUGUGUGUGUGUCUGUGUGUCAUGGUGUGUGUGUCUGUCUGUGUCAUGCAAUGUGUGUCUGUGUCAUUGUGUGUGUGUCUGCUAUGUAAUGUGUUUCUGUCUGUGUCAUGGUUUGUGUGUGUUUGUGUGUG